GACGAACGCUGGCGGCGUGCUUAACACAUGCAAGUCGAACGGAAAGGCCCUGCUUGCAGGGUACUCGAGUGGCGAACGGGUGAGUAACACGUGGGUGAUCUGCCCUGCACUUCGGGAUAAGCCUGGGAAACUGGGUCUAAUACCGGAUAGGAGCCAUUUUUAGUGUGAUGGUUGGAAAGUUUUUUCGGUGUAGGAUGAGCUCGCGGCCUAUCAGCUUGUUGGUGGGGUAAUGGCCUACCAAGGCGGCGACGGGUAGCCGGCCUGAGAGGGUGGACGGCCACAGUGGGACUGAGAUACGGCCCAGACUCCGACUGGAGGCAGCAGUGGGGAAUAUUGCACAAUGGGCGCAAGCCUGAUGCAGCGACGCCGCGGGGGGGAUGACGGCCUUCGGGUUGUAAACUCCUUUCGCUAGGGACGAAGCUUUUUGUGACGGUACCUAGAUAAGAAGCACCGGCUAACUACGUG
rnacentral:rRNA from 1 species